CCAGAGGGAGGGAGAAAGGGAGGAGAGGGGGGAGCUGUGUCUGGGAAGGCGAGACUGAGACGGGAGCCAAUCAGAGAGCAGAGUCAGCUUUGUCUUCUUUGAGGUAGAGCAUCCUCUGAUUGUGUGAGGGUGAAGCUGCGCCUGGGAAGCAGGGCUCCGCUACACCUCCGAGAGGGUGCUGGCUUCUUUCUUUCCUUCUUUCUUUUUCUGUUUUUCUUUUCUUUUAUGUGCUCAGUGGGUCAAAAUAUUGGGAAGGACAGGUGAAUUUAAUGAUCAGUGCCAAAAUAUAGUUCUGCUUCUCUAGACACCAGUGUAUUUAGAUCAGCACAAAGGUGAUGCGCUAAAUGAAAGCAUAGAUCCGGAGCCACUCAGCCAGAGAGAAAAAGGGAAAAUAGAGUCAGGGGCGUUUAGGGUUGGAGUCGCAGGCGGAGGUGGAGGCGAGGCGGAAGCCCAAGGCGAUUCUGAGCCCUAGGCGAUUCUGUGUCAUAGAAAUAUUGUACAGCCUGGAGCAGAACUGAUGCUUUGAAUGAAAACAUUGGUCUUCAAAGAACCUGACCAUCGUGGAAGGUGCCAGGACAGUGUCCCAUUUAUCUGAAAACAAAAAGGAAAAAAAGUAAGAAAACAAAAUCUUGUAGCAACUGCUGUCCCUUCAUCAGGGUUCCAGGACAGUGCCUCAUUUACCUGAAAAAAUAAGAAAAAAAAGAAGGAAAAGAAAAACUUGCAACAGCGUGCAAUCCCUUCAUCAGGUUAUAGCUGGAAAGGUUCUGACAACACAAGUCCUCAGCUCUGAUAGCAACUUUAGAAUGAAAAAUGUCAUAAAAGCACAGCACUGAUGUUUUGAAUGAAAAUCCAGGUCUUCAAACACCCACACAAUAAGGACAGAAAAGAAGGAAAAGAAAAACUUAUAAUACUCCGUAAUCCAUUCAGUAUGGACGGAACCAAGAUGGCGGAUUAGGGACAGCUGCCCAACUGAACUCUCCCAACAUUCCCCUGCAAUCAACUUUAAAAUAACAUCUCAAAUCAAAUUUUGGAGCAGCAGAGCCAACAAAAGGUUGGGGUGAGACAUUUUUCGGGACUAAGAAAACCUAAGUGGUUAGCAGAACUUUGUGACACUUGGGGUGGAAGCCUAUUUGAAGCUCUGACAGGUGGUGACAGCCUCAGUGUCCAAAACACUAGUUUAAGGAGCUCUUAGUCCAAAGACAAUAAGGGGGUUGGACAAUUCAUCAGAAAGAGAUUACAGAAGACCCUUUGCUGGUGCUGGUGUUGGUGCUGGUGUGUGGAGCUGAUUGGCAACUUUAUUAUUUAUACUCAAUUCUGGGCCACAAUUCCAGGGUGGAGAGGAGCCCUGGUGGUUGGUUACAAGGGAGCAAGGGCCCUAGUCACAGUUCUAAAGCAAAUAGGAGUUCUAGCUCUUGUGGCUGAAGGAGACUAGGGUUGUUUCCUGGAUAAAGGUCAGAGCAUAGAGUAGGAAAGCAGUGACCACACUUCUCCCAGGAUCAUACCAGCUUGGAAGCACCAAAAAAUUGCAGAUUCCCAGAACUAGGUCUUAAAACAGCGGCACAAAAAAGCUUGGAGCUUGGCACAGUGCUUCCCCACUGUAGCAUAAAAUUCAAAACCAAGAAUUAGUGUGAGGGAAUGAGCAAACAGAAAAAGAGCUUCACCAUAAGAAAUUCUCACGCUGGAAGAGAAGACCACGACAGAAAGGGAGAAGAAGACUACAAUAUGAAAUCUGCUUCAAAAAAAGGCUCCAAGAAAAAUGCUAACUGGUCUCAUCCUGACCAAGAUUUUAUGGAUGAGCUAAAAAAGGAGGUAAGAGUGGUAGAGGAAAAAUUGGGAAAAGAAA